rnacentral:rRNA from 1 species
ACGUUGGCGGCGUGGAUUAGGCAUGCGAGUCGCGCGAGAAUGUAGCAAUACAGGAAAGCGGCGAAAGGGAGAGGACAACAUGGGAAUCUGCCCUGGGGGCGAGGAUAGCGUCGGGAAACUGACGGUAAUACUCGAUAAUGUCUGCGGACCAAAGGUGUGAUUCCGCCCCAGGAUGUGCCCAUGUCCCAUUAGCUAGUUGGCGGUGUAAUGGACCACCAAGGCGAUGAUGGGUAGCUGGUGUGAGAGCACGACCAGCCUCACUGGCACUGAGACACUGGCCAGACACCUACGGGUGGCUGCAGUCGAGAAUCUUCGGCAAUGGACGAAAGUCUGACCGAGCGACGCCGCGUGUGGGAUGAAGGUCUUCGGAUUGUAAACCACUGUCGAGGGGAAUCAAAUGCAGGAGGGUCCUCCCUCUUGUUUGAGAGAACCCUGGAGGAAGGGGAGGCUAAGCUCGUGCCAGCAGCCGCGGUAAGACGAGCUCCCCGAACGUUAUUCGGUAUUACUGGGCUUAAAGAGUUCGUAGGCGGCGAAGUAGGUGAGGUGUGAAAGCCCUCGGCUCAACCGAGGAACUGCGCUUCAAACCGCUUUGCUAGAGGGAGAUAGGGGUAAGCGGAACAGAUGGUGGAACGGUGAAAUGUAUUGAUAUCAUCUGGAACACCGGUGGCGAAAGCGGCUUACUGGGUCUUUUCUGACGCUGAGGAACGAAAGCUAGGGUAGCGAACGGGAUUAGAUACCCGGUAGUCCUAGCCGUAACGAUGAGCACUAGUCUGAGGACUCUCACAGUCUC